AUGAGGCAGGCUCAAGUGAUGAGAGAAAAACUGCAACAAUAUGAUGGGAGAUAUGCUCCUGUGAUUCCUAAGUAUUUAAGUCUCUGAUGUACCCAAUGCACAU
rnacentral:snoRNA from 1 species